rnacentral:rRNA from 1 species
UACGUAGGGACCGAGCGUUGUCCGGAAUCAUUGGGCGUAAAGGGCGCGUAGGCGGCUCUGAUCGUCGGAUGUGAAAGGCCUGGGCUCAACCUGGGAAUGGCAUCCGAUACGGCGGGGCUGGAGUGUGGGAGAGGUUGGUGGAAUUCCCAGUGUAGAGGUGAAAUUCGUAGAUAUUGGGAAGAACACCGGUGGCGAAGGCGGCCAACUGGACCACAACUGACGCUGAGGCGCGAAAGCGUGGGGAGCAAACAGG